UACGGAGGAUCCAAGCGUUAUCCGGAUUUAUUGGGUUUAAAGGGUGCGUAGGCGGACCCUUAAGUCAGUGGUGAAAGUUUGCAGCUCAACUGUAAAAUUGCCAUUGAUACUGGUUUUCUUGAGUACAGUUGAGGUAGGCGGAAUGUGGUGUGUAGCGGUGAAAUGCUUAGAUAUACCACAGAACACCGAUUGCGAAGGCAGCUUACUAAGUUGUGACUGACGCUGAAGCACGAAAGCAUGGGGAUCAAACAGG
rnacentral:rRNA from 1 species